rnacentral:rRNA from 1 species
ACAGCAGCAGCCACGGGAAUACGUAGGGUGCGAGCGUUAAUCGGAAUUACUGGGCGUAAAGCGUGCGCAGGCGGUUCGUUAAGACAGAUGUGAAAUCCCCGGGCUUAACCUGGGAACUGCAUUUGUGACUGGCGAGCUAGAGUAUGGCAGAGGGGGGUAGAAUUCCACGUGUAGCAGUGAAAUGCGUAGAGAUGUGGAGGAAUACCGAUGGCGAAGGCAGCCCCCUGGGCCAAUACUGACGCUCAUGCACGAAAGCGUGGGGAGCAAACAGGAUUAGAGACCCGAGUAGUCCCUGUCUCUUAUAC